rnacentral:misc_RNA from 1 species
CGGUUUAACCUAAUAGUAAGC